AGAUCUGUCCUUCAACACAACAGAAACUACGACAACCAUGACAAUGAUCACCAUCUUCAUCUGGACACUGGUCUGCUGCUGCCUCAAAGGAUCCAGAGGUCAGGUGACUGUGACUCAGCCUCCUGUAGUGACAUUUUCUCCAGGAGACCCUGUCACUCUGACCUGUACAACCAACACUAAAGUGUACAAAUGGGAUAGUGGAAAUGAGGGUGCGUACUGGUAUCAACAGAGACCUGGAGAAGCUCCCAAACUCCUAAUACAACAUGUAAAGACACGGCUAGAUGGGAUUCCUGCUAGAUUCAGUGGCAGUGGGUCUGAGAGGGACUUCACUCUGACCAUCAGUGGAGUCCAGGCUGAAGAUGCAGCAGUUUACUACUGUCAGAGUUACCACAGUGGAAGUGUGUUCACACAGUGAUUUAGAGCCGUACAAAAUCCUCCUGCUCGAAAUACACACAUCGAUGGUCCUCUGAACACAGAACUAAGGGUCUUGUUAUAUGACAUCACCAAGUAUAACCACUUUACUAACUCAGAAAUAAUGGUUACAAACUAGUUUCAUAA